GGGUUGUGAGGUUAAGCGACUAAGCGUACACGGUGGAUGCCCUGGCAGUCAGAGGCGAUGAAGGACGUGCUAAUCUGCGAAAAGCGUCGGUAAGGUGAUAUGAACCGUUAUAACCGGCGAUGUCCGAAUGGGGAAACCCAGUGCAAUUCGUUGCACUAUCGUUAACUGAAUACAUAGGUUAACGAGGCGAACCGGGGGAACUGAAACAUCUAAGUACCCCGAGGAAAAGAAAUCAACCGAGAUUCCCCCAGUAGCGGCGAGCGAACGGGGAGCAGCCCAGAGUCUGAAUCAGCUUGUGUGUUAGUGGAACGGUCUGGAAAGUCCGACGGUACAGGGUGAUAGUCCCGUACACCAAAAUGCACAGGUUGUGAACUCGAAGAGUAGGGCGGGACACGUGGUAUCCUGUCUGAAUAUGGGGGGACCAUCCUCCAAGGCUAAAUACUCCUGACUGACCGAUAGUGAACCAGUACCGUGAGGGAAAGGCGAAAAGAACCCCGGCGAGGGGAGUGAAAAAGAACCUGAAACCGUGUACGUACAAGCAGUGGGAGCACCUUCGGGUGUGACUGCGUACCUUUUGUAUAAUGGGUCAGCGACUUAUAUUCUGUAGCAAGGUUAACCGUAUAGGGGAGCCGCAGGGAAACCGAGUCUUAACUGGGCGUUAAGUUGCAGGGUAUAGACCCGAAACCCGGUGAUCUAGCCAUGGGCAGGUUGAAGGUUGGGUAACACUAACUGGAGGACCGAACCGACUAAUGUUGAAAAAUUAGCGGAUGACUUGUGGCUGGGGGUGAAAGGCCAAUCAAACCGGGAGAUAGCUGGUUCUCCCCGAAAGCUAUUUAGGUAGCGCCUCGUGAACUCAUCUUCGGGGGUAGAGCACUGUUUCGGCUAGGGGGUCAUCCCGACUUACCAACCCGAUGCAAACUACGAAUACCGAAGAAUGUUAUCACGGGAGACACACGGCGGGUGCUAACGUCCGUCGUGAAGAGGGAAACAACCCAGACCGCCAGCUAAGGUCCCAAAGUCAUGGUUAAGUGGGAAACGAUGUGGGAAGGCACAGACAGCCAGGAUGUUGGCUUAGAAGCAGCCAUCAUUUAAAGAAAGCGUAAUAGCUCACUGGUCGAGUCGGCCUGCGCGGAAGAUGUAACGGGGCUAAACCAUGCACCGAAGCUGCGGCAGCGACACUAUGUGUUGUUGGGUAGGGGAGCGUUCUGUAAGCCUGCGAAGGUGUGCUGUGAGGCAUGCUGGAGGUAUCAGAAGUGCGAAUGCUGACAUAAGUAACGAUAAAGCGGGUGAAAAGCCCGCUCGCCGGAAGACCAAGGGUUCCUGUCCAACGUUAAUCGGGGCAGGGUGAGUCGACCCCUAAGGCGAGGCCGAAAGGCGUAGUCGAUGGGAAACAGGUUAAUAUUCCUGUACUUGGUGUUACUGCGAAGGGGGGACGGAGAAGGCUAUGUUAGCCGGGCGACGGUUGUCCCGGUUUAAGCAUGUAGGCUGGUUAUCCAGGCAAAUCCGGAUAAUCAAGGCUGAGGUGUGAUGACGAGGCACUACGGUGCUGAAGUAACAAAUGCCCUGCUUCCAGGAAAAGCCUCUAAGCAUCAGGUAACAUCAAAUCGUACCCCAAACCGACACAGGUGGUCAGGUAGAGAAUACCAAGGCGCUUGAGAGAACUCGGGUGAAGGAACUAGGCAAAAUGGUGCCGUAACUUCGGGAGAAGGCACGCUGGUGUGUAGGUGAAGUCCCUGCGGAUGGAGCUGAGACCAGUCGAAGAUACCAGCUGGCUGCAACUGUUUAUUAAAAACACAGCACUGUGCAAACACGAAAGUGGACGUAUACGGUGUGACGCCUGCCCGGUGCCGGAAGGUUAAUUGAUGGGGUUAUCCGUAAGGAGAAGCUCUUGAUCGAAGCCCCGGUAAACGGCGGCCGUAACUAUAACGGUCCUAAGGUAGCGAAAUUCCUUGUCGGGUAAGUUCCGACCUGCACGAAUGGCGUAAUGAUGGCCAGGCUGUCUCCACCCGAGACUCAGUGAAAUUGAACUCGCUGUGAAGAUGCAGUGUACCCGCGGCAAGACGGAAAGACCCCGUGAACCUUUACUAUAGCUUGACACUGAACAUUGAGCCUUGAUGUGUAG
rnacentral:rRNA from 1 species